CGGCCGCGGUAUCCUGACCGUGCAAAGGUAGCAUAAUCAUUUGUUCCUUAAUUAGGGACUUGCAUGAAUGGCUUGACGAGGGUUUAACUGUCUCUUACUUUCAAUCAGUGAAAUUGACCUUCCCGUGAAGAGGCGGGAAUAAAUUAAUAAGACGAGAAGACCCUAUGGAGCUUAAAUUAAAUUAUUCUGAAUAAUAAAUUUUGGUUGGGGUGACCUCGGAGUACAAAACAACCUCCGAGCUAAGACUUACCCGUCAAAGCCAAUUAUAUUGAUCAACGGAUCAAGUUACCCUAGGGAUAACAGCGCAAUCCUAUUUAAGAGUUCGUAUCGACAAUAGGGUUUACGACCUCGAUGUUGGAUCAGGACACCCAAAUGGUGCAGCAGCU
rnacentral:rRNA from 1 species